rnacentral:rRNA from 1 species
CCUACGGGAGGCAGCAGUGGGGAAUUUUCCGCAAUGGGCGAAAGCCUGACGGAGCAACGCCGCGUGGGUGAUGAAGUCUUUCGGGACGUAAAACCCUUUCAGCAGGGACGAACAAAAUGACGGUACCUGCAGAAGAAGCAUCGGCUAACUACGUGCCAGCAGCCGCGGUAAUACGUAGGAUGCGAGCGUUGUCCGGAUUUAUUGGGCGUAAAGCGAACGUAGGCGGUUUCUUAAGUUUGGUCUUAAAGACCGGGGCUCAACCCCGGGAGUGGACUGAAUACUGGGAGACUAGAGGAUGUUAGAGGAAAGUGGAAUUCCAAGUGUAGCGGUGAAAUGCGUAGAUAUUUGGAGGAACACCAGUGGCGAAAGCGGCUUUCUGGGACAUUUCUGACGCUGAGGUUCGAAAGCUCGGGGAGCAAACAGGAUUAGAUACCCUGGUAGUCCGAGCCGUAAACGAUGGACACUAGGUGUCGGGGGUAUCGACCCCCCCGGUGCCGUAGCUAACGCGUUAAGUGUCCCGCCUGGGAGUACGGUCGCAAGACUGAAACUCAAAGGAAUUGACGG